rnacentral:rRNA from 1 species
UACGUAGGGCGCAAGCGUUGUCCGGAAUUAUUGGGCGUAAAGAGCUCGUAGGCGGCUUGUCGCGUCGAUUGUGAAAGUCCGGGGCUUAACUCCGGGUCUGCAGUCGAUACGGGCAGGCUAGAGUGUGGUAGGGGAGAUCGGAAUUCCUGGUGUAGCGGUGAAAUGCGCAGAUAUCAGGAGGAACACCGGUGGCGAAGGCGGAUCUCUGGGCCAUUACUGACGCUGAGGAGCGAAAGCGUGGGGAGCGAACAGG